ACGAACGCUGGCGGCGUGCUUCACACAUGCCAGUCGCACGGAAAGGCCUCUUUCGGGGGGUACUCGAGUGGCGAACGGGUGAGUAACACGUGAGUAACCUGCCCUUGACUUUGGGAUAACUUCAGGAAACUGGGGCUAAUACCGGAUAGGAGCUCCUGCUGCAUGGUGGGGGUUGGAAAGUUUCGGCGGUUGGGGAUGGACUCGCGGCUUAUCAGCUUGUUGGUGGGGUAGUGGCUUACCAAGGCUUUGACGGGUAGCCGGCCUGAGAGGGUGACCGGCCACAUUGGGACUGAGAUACGGCCCAGACUCCUACGGGAGGCAGCAGUGGGGAAUAUUGCACAAUGGGUGGAAGCCUGAUGCAGCAACGCCGUGUGCGGGAUGACGGCCUUCGGGUUGUAAACCGCUUUCGCUCAUGACGAAGCUUUGUGUGACGGUAGUGGGUAAAGAAGCACCGGCUAACUACGUG
rnacentral:rRNA from 1 species